CCUACGGGUGGCAGCAGUGGGGAAUAUUGGGCAAUGGAGGAAACUCUGACCCAGCAACGCCGCGUGAAGGAUGAAGGUUUUCGGAUUGUAAACUUCUGUUGCGAGGGAUGAAGAAUGACGGUACCUCGUGAGGAAGCCCCGGCAAACUACGUGCCAGCAGCCGCGGUAAUACGUAGGGGGCAAGCGUUGUCCGGAAUGACUGGGCGUAAAGGGAGUGUAGGUUGUUGUUUAAGUUAAAUGUGAAAGCCCGUGGCUCAACUACGGAACUGCAUUUAAUACUGGACAACUAGAGUGCAGGAGGGGUAAGCGGAAUUCCUAGUGUAGCGGUGGAAUGCGUAGAUAUUAGGAAGAACACCAGAGGCGAAGGCGGCUUACUGGACUGUAACUGACGUUGAGGCGCGAAAGUGUGGGGAGCAAACAGGAUUAGAUACCCCAGU
rnacentral:rRNA from 1 species